UACGUAGGUCCCGAGCGUUGUCCGGAAUUACUGGGUGUAAAGGGUGCGCAGGCGGUCUUGUGCGUCAGAAGUGAAAUAUCACGGCUUAACCGUGAGGGUGCUUUUGAUACGGCAAGACUUGAGUACGGGAGAGGAUGAUGGAAUUCCUGGUGUAGCAGUGAAAUGCGUAGAUAUCAGGAGGAACACCGGUGGCGAAGGCGGUCAUCUGGCCCGGUACUGACGCUCAGGCACGAAAGUGUGG
rnacentral:rRNA from 1 species